GUCUACGGCCAUACCAUCCUAAACAAGCCCGAUCUCAUCUGAUCUCGGAAGCUAAGCAGGGUGUGGCCUGGUCAGUACCUGGAUGGGAGAAGGAGGUUAGGAGUAUGCAUAGACU
ensembl:rRNA 5S_rRNA 5S ribosomal RNA